CUUCAUCCUUCAGUGACUACAGAGAAAACACUUGUGGAGAAGAGAGAAAGCAAAGUUCCAAGAAGCUACAUAUGACUCUGGAAUUCAUGUUCAAGGAAAGUAAAAGGAACAAUGUCUACUUGGAGAAAAGGUUGAUUUCAACCUGGGGCAAGGAAAGACAAAGGCAAGUCAGCUCUCUUCUGGUUUCUUCACACCUAAAAUCCUGUUCACCUAAUGAUAUACUUCCAUUAGAAGAAAG